rnacentral:rRNA from 1 species
CGUGUAGGCGGGAAUUCAAGUCGGGCGUGAAAUCCCCAGGCUCAACCUGGGAACUGCACCCGAAACUGGGUUUCUUGAGUGUCGGAGAGGAAAGCGGAAUACCUGGUGUAGAGGUGAAAUUCGUAGAUAUCAGGUGGAACACCGGUGGCGAAGGUGGCUUUCUGGACGACUACUGACGCUGAGACGCGAAAGCGUGGGGAGCAAACA